rnacentral:rRNA from 1 species
AUGGCUCAGAACGAACGCUGGCGGCGCGUUUAAGCAUGCAAGUCGAGCGGCAAGGGCCUUCGGGCCCUAGAGCGGCGGACGGGUGAGUAACACGUGGACAAUCUGCCCCCCGGACCCGGGAUAGCCCCAGGGAAACCUGGAUUAAUACCGGAUGAGACGGGACCUGCGAUGGCGGGAUCCGGGAAAGGCGCUACGGCGCCGCCGGGGGAUGAGUCUGCGUCCCAUUAGCUAGACGGCGGGGUAACGGCCCACCGUGGCGACGAUGGGUAGCCGGCCUGAGAGGGUGGACGGCCACAUUGGAACUGAGACACGGUCCAGACUCCUACGGGAGGCAGCAGCUAAGAAUCUUCCGCAAUGGGCGAAAGCCUGACGGAGCCGACGCCGCGUGAACGAAGAAGGCCGUGAGGUUGUAAAGUUCUUUUCGGGAGGGGAACAACCGUGGCAGGGAAUGGCCGCGGGAUGACGUGAAUCCCGGAAUAAGCCCCGGCUAACUACGUGCCAGCCGCCGC